UUGGUUUUCGGACCAAGAGACCGGCGCACGGGUGCGUAACGCGUAUGCAAUCUACCUUUCACAGAGGGAUAGCCCAGAGAAAUUUGGAUUAAUACCUCAUAGUAUUGCGGAAUGGCAUCAUUCUGUAAUUAAAGUCACAACGGUGAAAGAUGAGCAUGCGUCCCAUUAGCUAGUUGGUAAGGUAACGGCUUACCAAGGCUACGAUGGGUAGGGGUCCUGAGAGGGAGAUCCCCCACACUGGUACUGAGACACGGACCAGACUCCUACGGGAGGCAGCAGUGAGGAAUAUUGGACAAUGGGCGCAAGCCUGAUCCAGCCAUGCCGCGUGCAGGAUGACGGUCCUAUGGA
rnacentral:rRNA from 1 species